AUUGAACGCUGGCGGCAGGCUUAACACAUGCAAGUCGAACGGGUGGCGGACGGGUGGGUAAUGUAUGGGAAACUGCCUGAUGGAGGGGGAUAACGACUGGAACCGGUAGCUAAUACAGCAUACCAUCGGAUGUGCCCAGAUGGGAUUAGCGAGUCGGUGGGGUAAAGGCUCACCUAGGCGACGAUCCCUAGCUGGGCUGAGCGGAGUACCAGCCAUGCUGGAACUGAGAAACGGUCAAGACUCCUACGGGAGGCAGCAGUGGGGAAUAUUGCACAAUGGGCGCAAGCCUGAUGCAGCCAUGCCGCGUGUAUGAAGAAGGCCGUCGGGGUGUAAAGUACUUUCAGCGGAGAGGCGUUACCCGCAGAAGAAGCACAGGCUAACUCCGUGCCAGCAGCGGUGGUAAUUC
rnacentral:rRNA from 1 species